GUUUCUUUGUUCCAGGGUCAUUUUAAAGAGGCUACACACAUGGUAAUAAGCUCCACCCACUUGGCUUCAGGUUUCAUCCCCCAAAGAAAAACACCUC